GACGAACGCUGGCGGCGUGCCUAAUACAUGCAAGUAGAACGCACAGUUUAUACCGUAGCUUGCUACACCAUAAACUGUGAGUUGCGAACGGGUGAGUAACGCGUAGGUAACCUGCCUGGUAGCGGGGGAUAACUAUUGGAAACGAUAGCUAAUACCGCAUAAUAUUGAUUAUUGCAUGAUAAUUGAUUGAAAGAUGCUAUUGCAUCACUACCAGAUGGACCUGCGUUGUAUUAGCUAGUAGGUGAGGUAACGGCUCACCUAGGCGACGAUACAUAGCCGACCUGAGAGGGUGAUCGGCCACACUGGGACUGAGACACGGCCCAGACUCCUACGGGAGGCAGCAGUAGGGAAUCUUCGGCAAUGGACGAAAGUCUGACCGAGCAACGCCGCGUGAGUGAAGAAGGUUUUCGGAUCGUAAAGCUCUGUUGUAAGAGAAGAACGGGUGUGAGAGUGGAAAGUUCACACUGUGACGGUAGCUUACCAGAAAGGGACGGCUAACUACGUG
rnacentral:rRNA from 1 species